rnacentral:lncRNA from 1 species
AUGGCCAAUCAGAGAACAUGUUUCCAGGGCUGGGAAGAGUCCGAAGGCUCUGGAGAAACAGCCCAGGGGAGGCCCGAAGGGAGAGAAAGACGUGCCAGCCUCGUCCGUCAGUGCCAGCGGGCAGCGGCCCUUGGGUCACCCAGCAUGUGUGUGCAAAGGGAACCCUGUGACCCAUCAGUACCGGCUUCCCUGGUGUGGGCUCAGCUUUCACAGACCUGGAGAGUCCUGCCCGCCUGCUUCCGGGGUCCUGUGAAGACGCUUCCUGCGCACAGGGCUUACCCACACUUCCUGAUCUGCCGGCGGAUCCAGGCGACGUGGCUCCGGACGCUCGUGAAGACGGCCGGCAGCUCGAUCAUGGAGCAGCCGAUACCCCAGCUGACCACGCCAACCUGGACCCAGGAGCCUCCCUUCCUGCAGACCAGGGGCCCUCCGGAGUCCCCCUUCAGAGAGAGGACACAGUCACACGUCUCACCAGGGGCCUUCGUACAAUGGGACUCCCUGUCCAGCCUCGAGAGGCCCAGGCUAGGGGGAGCCCCCUGGGGCAAGGCGGAGCCUGAGGGUCUCACCAUGCAGGGCCCCCGGCCCAGGGUGCCGGCACACAGCAUGUCCUCCGGGAUGACCUUCUCGUUGGCGCUGGCAUGCAGGUACUUCUUGUAGCCCUCCUCACAGGCCUCGCGGUCCUCCAGCGGGAUUUGCACCUGCUGUAGGCGGUAGGGUGGGUGUAGUGGCGCUGGGGGAGGAAGAGAGGGGUCAGGAAGCAGCAGGGGGCUGUGUCCCUGACACGGUGAGUUUGCUCACACCUGCCACAGCCAAGGCAGCCAUGGGGAGGGUCCACACCGCCUGCGACGCAUGGGCCCUGGGCUCUGGUCCUGCUCUCACCGCUCCGACCUGGAGCCAGCCUGGGCCUCAGCGUCCCCAUCUGUCCUUGGUGGGGGUGUGUCCUCAGCCCAUCUCAGCAGAGCCCUCCUUCCGUGAUAGACAGGCUCAGAUUCCACAGACAGACCCCCACAGACCGGGGCCGGGCAUACAUGUCUCUCCAAAGCUCUGGGAUGGGAUCUUACUUGGAAAUCAAAUCUUGGCAGACCGAUUAAGGUGGGAUGAGGCCAUGCUGGGAUGGGGAUGGGAAGGGCCCUCAGUCCAAGACAGGUGUCCUCAUGAGAGGCAGUACAGGAGUGGACCCAGGCUCGGGGGAGAAGGUGACAUGAAGACUGAGGCAGAGAUGGUGGGCAUGCGACCGUGAGCCCCGGGACAUCAGGGCCACCAGAGGCUGGGAGAGACCAGGAGGGACCCUCCCCUAGAGCCUGAGAGGGAGCAGGGCUCUGCCCCCACCUGGACUUUGGGAGAACACAUCUCCAUGGCGUGAAGCCCCCAGGGUGUGGGCCUUGUCACGGCAGCCCCAGGACACAGACACAGGGGCGGGGGCUGGGGGCCAGCAGCCCAAAGGUCCCCAGAACAUAUCAAGAAGCAUGACUUCCAUUGAAAAACGUAACCGGAUUCGCCCUCCCACCCCCUCCAUGCCCCCAAAAUCCACACAGAACAGAGUGUGAGGGCAGCAGGCUGUGGGCCUGGGGAUCCUGGGCAGGUUCCGCCACAGCUGACGGCAGACCAAGAGAGCUGGGAAACGCCCCCCAUCGUCCUUCAUGCAAAAUGAGUAUCAGCGCAUCAGCGUGGAUGCGGGGGGCUGAGAGGCCGAGCGGAGUUGGGGGACAGCUGGAACCCACUUCCUUCCCCGUCCCAUUUAUUUCUGAGCUUGUGAAUGUCAGCCCCCAAGGGACCUGCCUCCAUA